rnacentral:lncRNA from 1 species
GGUUUGUGAGGUCUUACCCACUCUGGGCAGCAUCAAGAGAGCAUGUUAGCCUGCACCAGUUGUCCUUGGGGAUGCUGAGCAAGUCCUGCGUCCGGUCACGAAGAGGAGGCAGCUGCAAGAGCCAUGGGGAUCUCGAGGGCGAGCGGCACAAAGGCACCAGCGAAGGCGAAGAGCAGCAUUAGCCGGAAACGCAAGAGUGAGUUGGACAAGGGGCAGGAUGUGCCGAAGAUGCCCAGAGGAAAGGCUGUGAAGAAGGAGCUGGAGGAAACUCUGUGCAYGGAUCAGGCCCCUGCCUCAAAAGGGAAGAAGAAAACGCCCAAAGUCAAGGAGAAGCCACUGCAGGAAAACAUCAUCAGCAGCUCUCUAAAGCAAGAGGCUGCAGAAGGCAAAGGUCCUAGCUCAACUCCGUGUGAUGGGAUCCGAGUGAAAGAGGAAGCCGUGUCUGAACCGGUACGUGGCAAYGUCUCUGCCGAAGGAUUAAGGAGCACUCGUGUAGUUUGCUUUCAAGGGAGCUGUGAGGAUGGAAUCUGAUACCUUGUGGUUGGGUAUGAGCCCCUAAAAGGGUUCCUUUGAACACCUUGAAUUAAAU